UCAUCCACUGCCUCAGAUGUGGGAGUGAAAAUGCUGCUCUUUAUUAUCUUUUAUUCAUGUAUGAAAUAAAAAACAGUAGCGCUAAUAAUGAACACCUAGAUUAUGAAAAUAAAAUGUUUCAGCUGCUAAAUUUAUUUCACUAAAAAACCUUUUAUAAAGUACUUCAGGGCAAAGCAGAAAUAUUGGUUGACUGGGAAUCUUCGUAUAGGAAGAUGGUGUAUAUGGACUGUAUCUGCAGCUAUCGCUCCUUCAUACAGAGGAGUUGGCAGAGAGGACACGCGAUUCCCGACUCUUUUGUUUGUUUUCUGUAUUCACAGUAAUCUGGCUGUCAGGUCUCCAGAGUUGGAACUCGCAACACAGACACUAUGUUUUUUUAACUUUAAACGGGAUCAUUUUUAUUCAACUUUCUCUCCUCAGCCAUCAUGUUCUUGAGAACCACUGCCAGCAUUUGCAACCGUGUGCAGUGUUGUGUCAUCUCAGAAUCAACAACAGUAAUAUGUGUACAUGAGACAAUCUUGCAUAACAGCAUGGCACUGUUUUGUAACUACAAGCACAUACUUUUAUGAAUCAAAUUGGUACACAAGGAAACUGAAAAAAUGCCCAUAAACUAAAUAAACAGUACAACAUUC